rnacentral:rRNA from 1 species
UCAAGCGAACAAGGGCGCAGGGCGAAUGCCUUGGCACUGGGAGCCGAUGAAAGACGUGAUAAGCUGCGAUAAGCUUCGGGGAGCUGCAAAUAAGCAUUGAUCCGGAGAUUUCUGAAUGAGGAAACUCACCUGGGUUCAUACUCAGGUACGUUAUACUGAACUUAAAAAUAGGUAUAUCGAGGGAACCGCCUGAACUGAAACAUCUAAGUAGGGCGAGGAAGAGACAUCAAACGAGAUUCCGUAAGUAGUGGCGAGCGAACGCGGAAGAGGGCAAACCGGGAGUAGAAAUACUUCCGGGGUACGGACUGCUUUUAGGACUUGAUCUGUUAACCGAACGGCAUGGGAAGGCCGGUCAGAGAGUGUGAGAACCACGUAGGUGAAAACGGAAAGAGCUGCGCAGGUUCCAGAGUACGGCCAGACACGUGAAACCUGGUCGGAAGAUGGGGGGACCACCCUCCAACCCUAAAUACUACCCAGUGACCGAUAGCGUAUAGUACUGUGAAGGAAAGGUGAAAAGCACCCCGGGAGGGGAGUGAAAAAGAACCUGAAACCCUGUGCCUACAAGCACCUAGAGCACGUCAAUGUGUGAUAGGGUACUUUUUGUAGAACGGUCCGGCGAGCGAUUGUAUGCAGCAAGGUUAAGGACUUAAGGUCUGGAGCCGAAGCGAAAGCGAGUUUGAAAAGGGCGUUAAGUUGCAUACAAUGGGCCCGAAACCGGGUGACCUACCCAUGGUCAGGUUGAAGUGGAAGUAAAAUUCCAUGGAGGACCGAACCGACCUCCGUUGAAAAGGCGGCGGAUGAACUGUGGGUAGCGGAGAAAUUCCAAUCGAACCCGGAGAUAGCUGGUUCUCCCCGAAAUAGUUUUAGGACUAGCCUCAAGUUAGAUACCUGGAGGUAAAGCACUGAAUAGCCUAGCGGCCGAGAGGUUAGCGAAGCUUAUCAAACUCAGAAUGCCAGAGUAUUGAUGCUUGGGAGUCAGACAGUGUCAGAUAAAUGUCAUUGUCAAAAGGGAAACAGCCCAGAUCUACAGCUAAGGUCCCAAAGUCAGGUUAAGUGGAAAACGAUGUGAAGAUACGCAGACAACCAGGAUGUUGGCUCAGAAGCAGCCACUCAUUCAAAGAGUGCGUAAUAGCUCACUGGUCGAGCGUCUUUGCGCGGAGAAUUUAACGGGGCUAAACCUGACACCGAAGCUUAGGCAAUACAGUAAUGUAUUGGGUAGGGGAGCGUUGUAUACGCGGUGAAACAGUAGCGCAAGCGGCUGUGGAGUGUAUAGAAGUGAGAAUGCCGGAAUGAGUAGCGCGAAUGCAGUGAGAAUCUGCAUGGCCGAAAGCCUCAGGUUUUUGGAGGAAGGUUCGUCCGCUCCAAGUUAGUCGGGAGCUAAGGUGAGGCCGGAAGGCGUAGCCGAUGCACAGACGGUAGAGAUUCCGUCACCACCAAAAGAGUUAAGCACAGGGACACAUUUGAAGUCUCAGAGCCGGGUGUUGGUUCCGGUAGAGAUCGAGGGAAGUUAGUACCGAAGUCUGGGAUGGAAGAUGGCGAGAAAAGCUGUGUGUAUUUCUGAGGUGCCCGUACCGCAAACCGACACAGGUAGGUAGGAAGAAGAUUCUAAGGCCAACGGGAGAAGGGUUGUUAAGGAACUCGGCAAAUUGACCCCGUAACUUCGGGAGAAGGGGUGCUCCAGAGAUGGAGCCGCAGAGAAUCGGCCCAAGCAACUGUUUACCAAAAACACAGGUUUGUGCUAAAUCGAAAGAUGACGUAUACGAGCUGACGCCUGCCCGGUGCUGGAAGGUUAAGAGGAGAUGUGCAAGCAUUGAAUCGAAGCCCCAGUGAACGGCGGCCGUAACUAUAACGGUCCUAAGGUAGCGAAAUUCCUUGUCAGGUAAGUUCUGACCCGCAUGAAAGGCGUAAUGAUUUGGGCACUGUCUCAACAGCCCGCCCGGCGAAAUUGUAGUACCGGUGAAGAUGCCGGUUACCCGCGACAAGACGGAAAGACCCCAUGGAGCUUUACUGUAGCCUAAUAUUGGGUUUCGAUGUUGCAUGCACAGGAUAGAUGGGACACUGGGAAGCAAUCGCUUUGGCGGUUGCGGAGAAAGCGUCGGUCGGUAGCAUGAGGAAUGUAUCACCUAUCAAGGUGGCAUCUUCAAUAACUGUUUUGUUACCGGUGGGAGUAGAAGCGACCUUCCCGGUGGCGACAUCGCUCCAGACAAACUUCGGUUUGCCGUUUUUCGUCGUAGUGGUCGGAAUUUCAGUCAUCGCAAGGUUACCGCUUUUUCCUACAUUCUGGAAUUCUAUUUUCUCGAUAGUCACUUCAUCCGGUACAGGAGCUACUUUCUUGAAUGUAAAGGUAACCUUGGUCAAUGUGUGGUAGAAGUGUAUAUUCACACCUUCAACCCAUACAGGGCCCGAUAUAGCCGCCAAUACAUCGACAUGAUUGGCGGCGGAUUCAUUCGCUGUAUAAUUCAGCACCAUUUCUCCGGGAUCAGUGAAACUCGCAGUAGGCGCAUUCGCAUCGCUGUACGGAUACCAGGAGAAGAACUUCAUGCUCGCAUUCAACAAUCCGGGCCAAUAUUGCAACGGCGAGAUGGUGGCUGUCAGGUCGGCGUUAACCGUAGCACUUGCAUUG